rnacentral:tRNA from 1 species
GGUGGGUUGGUUCAGUGGUUAGAGCGUAGGUCUUGUAACCGAAAGGUCGCGGGAUCGAAUCCCGCAGAGGCUG